rnacentral:rRNA from 1 species
UUGGUGAGAUUGUUGCACGCUAUGGUGAUUGCUUGCUGCUUCAACGCAAGUGUUGCAGUGGGUUUUGAUCCUGACGUGUGCUUUGUUUCUUACCUCGUGUGUCAACGUCGGUUCGGAAUUGAGGAAAACUCUAGGGACAUGGUAACUCGCCUGCGGGUGAGCCAAUGUGCCUGGUAGAACUCAUUUCUUAACUGAUUUCUGCAUGUCUGGUCGCAGUGUUUCAUUACCUGUGUUCUGGUAUUGCGCUUGUGGCUCUUCUGCUGCUUGUUGCGUUGCUGGGCCUGGUCGUGGAGCAUCUCCCUGACAUUAGUACGAUGACAAAAUGGUUUCAUUCGACCCGUCUUGAAACACGGACCAAGGAGUCUAACAUAUGUGCAAGUUCAUGGGUGUUAAACCUAAUUGCGCAAUGAAAGUGACUGCUGGGAUAUUUGCACCAGCAACCGACCAAUCAAUUGUGAGAGGUUUGAGUAUGAGCAUAUCUGUUAGGACCCGAAAGAUGGUGAACUAUGCGUGAGAAGGGUGAAGUCAGGGGAAACUCUGAUGGAGGCUCGUAGCGAUACUGACGUGCAAAUCGUUCGUCAUACUUGCGUAUAGGGGCGAAAGACUAAUCGAACCAUCUAGUAGCUGGUUCCCUCCGAAGUUUCCCUCAGGAUAGCUGGAGUUGAACAGUUUUAUCAGGUAAAGCGAAUGAUUAGAGGAAUCGGGGACGCGUUGUCCUCGACCUAUUCUCAAACUUUAAAUGGGUAAGAUCCAGUGGUUACUUGGGUGAACUUCUGGGAUAAAUGACAACUCUAAGUGGGCCAUUUUUGGUAAGCAGAACUGGCGAUGAGGGAUGAACCUAACGUUGGGUUAAGGUGCUUAACUGCUCGCUCAUCAGAUACCAUAAAGGGUGUUGGUUCAUUUUAACAGCAGGACGGUGGUCAUGAAGUCGAAUCCCCCAUCGGUGG